GCUGGUAUAGAAGCACCUACCUUCUAAAGACUUCCUCUAUAAAUCAAAAUUGUCACUUCUUAUAGUCCCCCCUCCGUUGAACCGCUUUGAUCAACUCAUCCGACAACACCAUAGUUCUACGUAUCCUCUGUGGUAGUCAUCUCGCUGCCCCAAUCCCAGAGCCAGGGCAAAAGUGUGAGUGGGAAAUGUUUUCUAAGUAUCUGCUAAUUGUGCUGCAUGCAUUUUUAAUGUCAUUUACCUUUUGGAACCGCUUGUGCCCUCGGUUGGUUUCUAAUUAAAAUGCACACCAACGGACGACAGAAGGUGGGUGGCAGGGGUGCAGGGCGGCCAAGAGUCAGCAUCUUCUUCAUUAUCAACAACUUUCAACCUCAUCAAAACGACUGGCACUUGGGAAAUUAAUUGCUGACUCUGACUCAUGCCACUUGCACUCUCAUCGGGCUCCCAGCACCCAGCACCCAUCUUCAAUCUUCGCAUCGUCCAUCCUCUGGCUCUUGAAGAUACUCGACACGUUGGCGCAAUAAAAAUAAAACUCAUUACGAUAAAUUGCAUAAGGAAAGAGGAAAAAAAAGAGAAAAAAAACGAGGCAGUAACAGAAAAAGAAAACCCAGAAAAGGUCGCUGCAGUGAUUCAAAGGAAAUUCUCAAAAGUCGUUUCAAUUAAUAUUUGAUUCGCUGGUCACUCGACUCAUCAUUCGCCUCAAUUCAAAGCGAAACUCAAAGGCGAAUUACAUUUUCGUUUUCGUUUUCAUUUGAAUUUUGAAUUCGUGGACAUCUGCCUGUAGCGUAGCUGUGGAUGUAUCUGUAUCUGUAAUUAAGCAAAAAGGAAUCCGAAAUCAGAAGCAAGUUUGUGCAAUCGCUGCUUUGGCUUCAAUGGAAUCAGGUGGCUUGUCAGGCCCGUGAUUGAUGUGGCGGCUUUUCGUGCAGCUCGCUCUCUGCCAUAUUUGGUGAAGUCAGAGCCUCCGUUCCAGUCCGAUGUCGAUGUCGAUGUCGAUGUCGUAUCUGAGUCUGCGUCUCCAACUGCCGCCGUCGACUGCCUCUCUGUGUCGGUGAUAAAUUGUUGCUCAAACAAUGCGUAUGUCUUUUCAAAAUAAAAUCAUAAACUUGUAG